ensembl:snRNA U6 U6 spliceosomal RNA
AUUUGUGCGCAGGGCCACUAGUAAUAGAUAAUAAAACUGGAACGAUACAGAGAAGAUUAGCAUGGCCCCUGCAAAAGGAUGACAUGCAAAUUUGUGAAGUGUUCCAUGUUUUA